rnacentral:ncRNA from 1 species
GUCUCAGGGCGGGGUGAAAAUCCCCACCGGUGGUUAAAGUCCACGAGCGCGUGCGCAUUUCGCACGGUCAGCAGAAUCGGUGCAAUCCCGAUACCGACGGUUAUAGUCCGGAAGAAAGAGCA